rnacentral:rRNA from 1 species
AGUGAACGCUGGCGGUAGGCCUAACACAUGCAAGUCGAACGGCAGCACAGGAGAGCUUGCUCUCUGGGUGGCGAGUGGCGGACGGGUGAGGAAUACAUCGGAAUCUACUCUGUCGUGGGGGAUAACGUAGGGAAACUUACGCUAAUACCGCAUACGACUUACGGGCGAAAGCAGGGGACCUUCGGGCCUUGCCCGAUUGAAUGAGCCGAUGUCGGAUUAGCUAGUUGGCGGGGUAAAGGCCAACCAAGGAGACGAUCCGUAGCUGGUCUGAGAGGAUGAUCAGCCACACUGGAACUGAGACACGGUCCAGACUCCUACGGGAGGCAGAAGUGGGGAAUAUUGGACAAUGGGCGCAAGCCUGAUCCAGCCAUACCGCGUGGGUGAAGAAGGCCUUCGGGUUGUAAAGCCCUUUUGUUGGGAAAGAAAUCCAGCUGGCUAAUACCCGGUUGGGAUGACGGUACCCAAAGAAUAAGCACCGGCUAACUUCGUGCCAGCAGCCGCCGUAA